CCUACGGGAGGCAGCAGUGAGGAAUAUUGGUCAAUGGACGAGAGUCUGAACCAGCCAAGUAGCGUGAAGGAUGACUGCCCUAUGGGUUGUAAACUUCUUUUAUAAAGGAAUAAAACGAGGCACGUGUGCCUUUUUGCAUGUACUUUAUGAAUAAGGAACGGCUAACUCCGUGCCAGCAGCCGCGGUAAUACGGAGGAUCCGAGCGUUAUCCGGAUUUAUUUGGUUUAAAGGGUGCGUAGAUGGGUUGUUAAGUCAGUUGUGAAAGUUUGCGGCUCAACCGUAAAAUUGCAAGUGAUACUGGCAGUCUUGAGUACAGUUGAGGUAGGCGGAAUUCGUGGUGUAGCGGUGAAAUGCUUAGAUAUCACGAAGAACCCCGAUUGCGAAGGCAGCUUACUAAACUGUGACUGACAUUGAUGCUCGAAAGUGUGGGUAUCAAACAGGAUUAGAUACCCUAGUAGUC
rnacentral:rRNA from 1 species